CUGUGCGUGUCUCUGUGCCACGCCUGACAUUUACAAGUAGAAGGAAGGGGCUGACAGGGGAAGAAAGCUUACUGGAGCAUGGCAUUGCAAAACACUGGCAUUACCAUGUGGUGAAUAUGCUCCAGCAUUUUCUGGAGCAAAAUAAUAGGCAAGAGACUUGCUCUUUUAAGUCAGACAGUUGUUUUUUUCCUAGUUUAAAAUUUGGAUGUUGCUUUUGAUCUCUUACUGAUCACGCGUCAUGAUACACUUUUGGCUGCUUGCCUCUUUCUUUGAGCAGUUAUGGUACAUGUGUAUUAAGUUUCCUGUGUUCAUCUGGGAACAAAACUGUAUAAAAACACUUUAAAUCGGUAGUAUUUCCUUUCUCAGCAAAACCGCUGCGGAGCUGCUGUGGGACAAGCCAAGACAAAGCAUCCGAGGAGGACGUGUUUAAGAGCGCGCUGUGCAGACCUUCCGGCGUGAGCGUCCGCGGGGCUUCCCGCUGUCCUGCCUGUGCUCCUGGGCGAUGUGCCCUCAGGGGUUUCCCUGACACGGUGCCGCGCGAGGGCCGCGGCAGGAGGGGCUCCAAGGGCAGCUCUUCGCCUCCACGCCAGACCGCUGCCUGGGCCAAGAGCCCCACAGAGUAAGAAGUUAACAGGUGCGGAGCAGGAGUUUAUGCAUGCCGUGGUAGUCCUGGUUCACACCUGGGGGGAUUCUGCCUUGGACCAUCCUGAGAGGGAGGAAUCUGGAUUGUGCCCGACGUGGAACAAAGCAAAAUGA
rnacentral:lncRNA from 1 species